rnacentral:rRNA from 1 species
CACGUAUUUAGCCGUCACUUCUUCUGUUGGUACCGUCAUUUAUUUCUUCCCAACUGAAAGCACUUUACAUUCCGAAAAACUUCACCGUGCACACAGAAUUGCUGGAUCAGACUCUCGGUCCAUUGUCCAAUAUUCCCCACUGCUGCCUCCCGUAGGAGUAAGGGCCGUGUCUCAGUCCCCUUGUGGCCGUUCACCCUCUCAGGCCGGCUACCCAUCAUCGCCUUGGUGAGCUGUUACCUCUCCAACUAGCUAAUGGGACGCAAAGCUCUCUCACAGUGCUUAUAGCUUUCAUAAUUCUAAGAUGCCUUAAAAUCAUAAUAUCAGGUAUUAGCAUUCAUUUCUAAAUGUUGUCCCUAGCUGUGAGGCAAGUUCUUACGCGUUACUCACCGUCCGCCACCAAAUCUAAACGUUAAAAACCCAAAUUCAAGUUUGAACUUGACAUGUGUUAAGCAAUUUCUAGUCUAGCGUUUACAUUCCUGACGCCAGGACUACAAACUCA